rnacentral:rRNA from 1 species
UCUGGUGACCCUAGAGACGUGGCACCACCCGUUCCCAUCCCGAACACGGCAGUGAAACGCGUCAUCGCUGAUGGUAGUGGGGCGAUAGGCCCUGUGAGAGUAAGUCGUUGCCAGUA